rnacentral:rRNA from 1 species
CCUACGGGAGGCAGCAGUAAGGAAUAUUGCUCAAUGGCCGAAAGGCUGAAGCAGCAACGCCGCGUGGAGGAUGAAAUACUUUUGUAUGUAAACUCCUGUGAGAAGGGAAAAAUAUGCAGAUUUUCUGCGUUGAUUGUACCUUCAGAGGAAGCCCCGGCUAACUACGUGCCAGCAGCCGCGGUAAUAA